rnacentral:tRNA from 1 species
GGCGCCGUGGCGUAGUGGUUAGCGCGCCUGACUUUUACCAUUAGGUAAUGGGUUCAAGGCCUGUCGCUGCUA